UUAGUUUUCUUUGUAUUUACCCUUUUUUGUAAUUGAGAAAACAGGGACACAGAGAGGUUAAGUAAUUUUCCUGAAGUCACACAGCUAAGAAAUGGUGGAGGUAGGCUUCAGAUUUAGACAAGUUGGUCCAGGGUUGGAGCUCGCAGAAACCACUGUAUGUUAGAAAUGCGAGAAGGGGUAGAAAAUCAGUCUUUACUGUUUAUAUGGGUGUAAAAACCAGUUAAGUUUGCUUUGUCAGGAGUAUUAGAGACCUACAUACAGCUAAACCUUUUCAGUUCUAGGGUCCUGAGACUUUGAAAAUCUGAAGACUAUCUAGGUACUCUUCCCAGAAAAAUACAUGCAAAUGUAAUUCUGGGGGGUUGUGGGUCUUCUGAAGCCUAUCAAUAGAACCAUUAGGGGCAGGUCAGCUUCAAGUUAAUGGGUCUAAGAUUUCCUACUGGGUCUAAGGAUGGGGGUGAGAGAGGAUGGUGGGUUUGCUGGAGAGGACCAAGCAGGAGGCAGACUGGUUCUGGGUCCACGGCCAGGCUCAGCUGAGCAAGGGUUAUGUGCUCCCCAGGCUGCCUGACUGCUUGCCACCCUGCUUAGCACUUCAGACAUGAAAGCAUUCGCAUCAAACUCUGAAUCAUCCGUUGCUAUUUCUUUACAUAUUUUUGCAAGAAAAGAAGGCUUUAUUUGGAAUGAUUUGCCAACAUACUAUAAAUCAAGAGACAUACAAAGCAGACUUAAAGGAGCUGCAGAAACUUUCAGAGACCCAGGAGCUAUAAAAAGAAACUAUUUCCAAUGUGUCCUAGCAAGGGGUGUAAACUCAACUCCAGAGAAAAGAGCAAAUGAAAUCAACUACUUUUCAAGAGGUUACAAAUCUACCUAACAUAAUGCACAGCUGUUUUCUUCUUAAAAAAAUGGAUCAAGAUCAUUCACCAACAGGAUUAAAAAGUAAAGCUUGGAAAAUCUGGCAAUGAAAAUCAACAGCUGCGUCUCUCCCCACCUUGAGUCCUAAACCCUAAAGAUGAGAAAACAGCGGCCUGGAAAGAAUGUUGCUUGUCUAAGGCCACACAGUUGGUGGCUUUUGGAGGGUGCCUAAAGGAUGGGGACUGGUUGCUGGUGGAGCCAACCAAGUGAUUAGAGGAUUGGAACUUUCGGUCCCACCCUGACCACUGGAUGAUAAUUAAAUCAGCCAUGCCUAUGCCAUGAAUCUUCAUAAAAACCCAAAGGAUGGAGAACUUAGCAGAACUUCUGAGUUGGUGAGAUAAGGGGACAGUGGUGCAGUCCAGGAGGGCAUGGAAGCCCCGCGCCCUUUCCCUAUACCUUGGCCUACACAUCUCUUCCCUAAGGAAAAUGUGAGCUGCUCUUGCAAAUUAAUCCAACCCAAGAAGGUGGUCGCUGGAAGCUCUGCUCCAUAAUAGGUGGCUCCAAAACACAGUGAUAACCUGGGAUUGCAAUUGGCAUCUGAAUUUGGAGAUGGGGUGCAGUCCUGCCAGACUGAGCCCUUGAUCUGUGGAACCUGAUGCUAUCUCCUGGUAGACAGUGUCAGAACUGAGUUAAAUCCAUCUGGUGUUGGAGAAUUGCUUGUAGUGUGUGAAAAACCCUCCUUCCCACAUCGACACUGGGUGCAGAAAUCUUAUCAAGGGAUUAGGAAUUCAACAUUUGAAUUUGGGGGGACACAGUUCAACCCAUAACAAAGAGCCUUUGGCUGUAGAAGCGUCUGAGUGGAAAGGGAAUUGCACUGGUCCUCAUGAGGGGGGUGGGUGUGGGAACCAUUCUUCACUUCCUUCAUGCUCGUCCUGUAGAGUGGCUGGUUUGGUCUGGUUUCUGAAAACGAACACCUGCCUAGAGCUCACUCAGGUGAAACUGGUCUCACCUGGCUCUGCGGCGCCUGAGUCCCCUGGUCGUUCAGUUCUCACAUUUGGUGGCCUCUCAUUGUCCCUCAACUUUCUGUAAUCUUUUGGGUCUGAGUACUUACUCAGUUUCCUAGUGGGGCUGGGACCUUUGGCUUCCACUGCACUCCCAUUGCAAGAUUCGGGGCUCUGCGAGACCACAGUCCACCUUGCAGCCCACCUACCUCUCCACUGCAUGGCCCAUGUGGGCUAUGGACCUUCCCGAAGGUACCUGAGGAAAGAAGGAACAGCCCCACUGCUCUGGGCAUCUCCUCGGCUUUCCCAGCAGGGUCUUGAGCCCAAGUGGGGAGUAAGACAAGCUCCACACAUAUACUAUUUGCCUCUCUUCCUUUUCUCUACCCCACCUUCCUAUACUGGAGGUGCUAACUUUUCCCUAGAUAGGCAGGAAUCUAAGUUAUCUCUCUCUACACUUGUAGUAAAAGUCAACAUACAGAACUCUUAACAAUACUUUUGAUAGUGAAAGGGAACUUUUGGAAUUUAGGGGAAAAUUCCUCUCCUAAAACAGUCUUGCUUUCAAAAUCAGUGGCCUCAACUUUUUGAUCCUUAGCGGUAAAAAAAAAUUGAAUAUGUGCAUAUAUAUUUGAUAUAUAUCUUAGAAUUAUAUACAUUUAAUACUGUACUAAUACAUUAUAUGCUUUAUGAGCAUACAUCCAAAAAGAGACACUUUAAAAGAUAAGGGAAAAUGAAAACAAACAUAUCCAAAUUUUCUUUCUGAAGCCCAGCGUGUUGUUGUCUUGGGCACACCCUACUUUGGAGGCCACUGUUUACUGCUUUGUCUUGCAAGGGACUAAAAAAAUAAAUUGGCAUGCAAAGCUGAGCAAUGACCUGGUUGUUCACUUGGCAUCUCUCUUUCCCUGAAGCAUGGAAACCUGUUGACUAAAUGGGUGGAGAGCCACAGAACAUCAUAGUUUAAGUGGAAAGAAAAACACAGCAGUUUCAUAUACAUUCAAAAGUAUCAUCCCAUGUAAUGGGAACCAAGCCAAGGGCUGGCCCUGAUGGCCGAGGCCUGGGGAAAAAACAAGCUGCCUCUUUGUGGCCCUUAACAAACAACAGGCCCUUUGUCAUCACGUGAAAACUGAUGGAGGGGUUGGUGCUUGUGGCUCCCUACCCUCCCUGGGGCUUCAGGACGGUGAGGGUGCCUGCUGGCAAGAGAAAGGUGUGCGCACCCAAACCUGUAUAUGUGUGUCAUGGAGGUGGGAGCCACCAAGAGGUGGAUGGGGGACAGGGCAAGGAAUGUUAAGUUUUAAGUGCUGGGAAUAAAAAGGACAUGGACUCUGAAUCAGGGCUUAGCUGUGAUAUCCCAGAAGCUGACCAAAUCCCCCUUUUCAAUAGUGUAUCGCUUUGUGUGGAAGUCCCCAAGCAAGAAUGCCAGUCCUGAUAGUAGGGAAAUAUAAAAUCCUUCUAAGUGCAGCAUUUCUCACAUGGGAGGUUCUGAGAACCCAGGAAGUCAGGAAAUGGAUUACCAGCUUCCCCCACUAUAUGGAAGCAGUGUUCCUAUGAAGCCUUUUUAAGCUGAAA